rnacentral:rRNA from 1 species
UCGAGAAUUUUUCUCAAUGGGCGAAAGCCUGAAGGAGCGACGCCGCGUGGGGGAUGAAGGGCUUCGGCCUGUAAACCCCUGUCAUUUGCGAACAAACCUUCCGACCUAACACGUCGGAAGCUGAUUGUAGCGGAAGAGGAAGGGACGGCUAACUCUGUGCCAGCAGCCGCGGUAAUACAGAGGUCCCAAGCGUUGUUCGGAUUCACUGGGCGUAAAGGGUGCGUAGGUGGUGAGGUAAGUUCGGUGUGAAAUCUCCAGGCUUAACCUGGAAAUUGCAUUGAAUACUCUCUCACUUGAGGUUUGGAGGGGGGACUGGAAUUCUCGGUGUAGCAGUGAAAUGCGUAGAUAUCGAGAGGAACACCAGUGGCGAAGGCGAGUCCCUGGACAACACCUGACACUGAGGCACGAAAGCUAGGGGAGCAAACAGG